rnacentral:rRNA from 1 species
UACGGGGGGGGCAAGCGUUGUUCGGAAUUACUGGGCGUAAAGGGCUCGUAGGUGGCCAACUAAGUCAGACGUGAAAUCCCUCGGCUUAACCGGGGAACUGCGUCUGAUACUGGAUGGCUUGAGUUUGGGAGAGGGACGCGGAAUUCCAGGUGUAGCGGUGAAAUGCGCAGAUAUCGGGAAGAACACCCGUGGCGAAGGCGGCACUCUGGGACGGUACUGACGCUGAGACGCGAAAGCGUGGGGAGCGAACAGG